GGCCAUCGCAUUGCGCUGUACUGGCACAGUGACAAAUAUUGGUUAAAUCUAGCAUUUCUAGACAGAGACAUCACCCAGUUACAAUUAUGACACAGUCUGUAGUAAUUCAAGUUGGACAAUGUGGAAAUCAGAUUGGAUGUCGUUUCUGGGAUCUUGCUCUCAGGGAACAUGCUACCUACAACAAGAAGGGCAUCUUUGAUGAAUCCCUCAGCAGUUUCUUCCGGAAUGUUGAUGCCAGAUACAGCAACCCUCUUGAUCUUGGAAUCGGCGAUGGGAAACAAAAGAUCACAAGCCUCAAAGCAAGGG